GGGCAAAACCAACAAAUGCCCUGCCAUAUGUCUCAUGUUGCAUGGUAUUCUCCAGACUUUAAUCAUUAUGGUGCUCCUGAGUGGAGUACAGCCUCUGAUGUACAGUAAAGGAGUGGUGACUGCAUUGAGACGCGCCAAAAUGCGCAGGGGGUCUGUGCCCUCAUUUUUGAAUGAAUAGCAUGAAGACCCCGCAAAAUUACACACAAUAACAGAAAGAAAAAGGGGCAACCACGCGAUCAGAAAACACACGGCUACUAUUAUGAUGAGAUAAAUGGACGCGCGCUUGUUGUCGCGUUCCUCGCUCGGCGGUUCGCGUCCUAGCUGAAAUUUGGCAAUGAAGAACAGUCUGAAGUUCAGCCCAAUCAUGAUAAUGACGGUGAAAAAGUUACUCACAAAAGCAGCAAGGAACGUCACUCUUAUAGCAACACCUAUAGGCACCAAAUUAUUAACAGCCACUAUAAAAAAAGAAUAAACCCAGUAGCCCAGAAUCACCAGCAGGGUUCUGUUUCGAGUCAUGCGCUGCGAGUAUUUGAAAGGCGCUGAGACCGCGUGGUAGCGGUCUGCUUGGGCGACCAAAAUCGCUAUAUAGGACAGACCCAUAAAACUGUAAGCGAGAAAGAAAGUGCGAGUUGGGGAGUCAUAAUAAUCGCGUACAUUCAUAACUCCCGCAUAAUAAUACGUGACGCCCGUGCAUAUGUCGCUGAGACACGUGCUGAGCAUGUACAUGAAGCGGUUCUCGUUCCGCAGUGAUCGGCUUAUCACGAUGGCGAUAAACACGGACGCGUUGACAAAAACAAUGGCGGUGGCGAGAAUUAUAUUAAAGAGAAACAAAAGCACGUUCUCGAAACUAGUGAGAGGCAGCACUGUGCCGAGACCCGCUCUGCUCUCAGAAAUAUUCAUGAGUGAUGAGAGUAUCAGUGCAUGCACAUGAAAGAGAGCGCAACCAUUGAUGAUAAUACUGUAUGAAUGAAAGCUGAGGAUGAGAGCGCGAGUGAACGCAGACACGCGUGCGGGGCGUUUUUAAAAUGAGGAGGACUGUCUGAGAUUCACGGGGCAGGUUCCUGGAAACUGGUUUCAGCCUUUUUUCCGUCCCUAACUAAAUGUUUGCGUCAUGCAUAAUCAAGAGUUUAUCAAACAUUAUAGAGGUCAAUGGUGUGAUGUGUUUACAAUAUAUAAAAGGCAGUUUUAUAUAUUUUGAAAUAUAAAAUAAAACAAA
ensembl:lncRNA